AGUGAACGCUGGCGGUAGGCCUAACACAUGCAAGUCGAACGGCAGCACAGUAAGAGCUUGCUCUUACGGGUGGCGAGUGGCGGACGGGUGAGGAAUACAUCGGAAUCUUCUUUUUCGUGGGGGAUAACGUAGGGAAACUUACGCUAAUACCGCAUACGACCUACGGGUGAAAGCAGGGGAUCUUCGGACCUUGCGCGAAUGAAUGAGCCGAUGUCGGAUUAGCUAGUUGGCGGGGUAAAGGCCCACCAAGGCGACGAUCCGUAGCUGGUCUGAGAGGAUGAUCAGCGACACUGGAACUGAGACACGGUCCAGACUCCUACGGGAGGCAGCAGUGGGGAAUAUUGGACAAUGGGCGCAAGCCUGAUCCAGCCAUACCGCGUGGGUGAAGAAGGCCUUCGGGUUGUAAAGCCCUUUUGUUGGGAAAGAAAAGCAGCAGGUUAAUACCCCGCUGUUCUGACGGUACCCAAAGAAUAAGCACCGGCUAACUUCGUG
rnacentral:rRNA from 1 species